rnacentral:lncRNA from 1 species
CAUUAUUUAAGGAACUAGCUAAUGAAUCUGCAAAGUUUUCUUUCUUUUUGUGAAAUUUAUAACAGUGUGGCCUGCCAUAAUAUUUGGCCAUUCUGGAAGACCUUUCUAUAGAAGACUUUAUUUCUAUGCCGAAGGAAUAUUACUGUUUUGACAUCUCCCAGAAAAAUAUGCAAAUCUAGAGGUUUCUUUACUGUAAGUUAGCUGAAUCCAAACAAGAUUUGCCAUGUUCAGCUUUAAGCAGUGAUAAUUGACAAACUAAUUAGCCUUCACACUCCCAUUUUCAUGUCCUUGAAUUUCAAGUUUCCCA